AACACUUCAUUGCAUUUUUCAUUUGACAAACGCUGCGCUGGUGUAUAUUCAAACUUCUUAGUUCUUACGACGUGGAUUGAGGCGAACUGCAGUAACGGCCUGUGAGGGAUAUUGGCGGGAAAAGGAAACAUCAGCUCUGCCUCUUCAACUAUCACCCGCUAGAGGAGUUAAGCUAGGGUUUCACCGAACUAGAUAAUCAGAAUGGCUUGCAGAAGAACCAACAGAGGGAUCGAAGAGAACACCUUGGCGAUCCUCGAUGCAUCCGGCGAUAAAGACACUCAAGACAAUAACGAUGAUAGGAUCGCUUUUCUUGAAGCUGUUCGCGCUUCGUCGAUUGUUCCGGGAAGUGGAACUCCUCCGACGAGCAAAAUGUACGAAGCAAUUUUUCAGAUUAUGAAGGAUGGGAAGUCUCUAGAAUUAAUUAUGGCAAGUUAUCAGCUUUUGAAUGAAUUAGAGAAGCAUUACCCACGGGUGUAUUUAUCCUGUGUUAGUAGUCCUAAUUCCUCCUGCAGUACUAUACCUGAACUAGUGGUGGUUAAAGAGGCUUGGUCACCGCUUGUAUUUGGCUGGGAUGCUUGCAGUGAGAGGGAGUCAUCCAAUAAAGAUUCUGGAGGACUACUCGAUUCCUACGGUUUUAAUCUACUCAUACAAAAACUUGCUGAGGUGGCUAAUGAAGCUGACUUUCAUGUGUUUGACACAAAGUUUCUGAGAAAUAUGUUAUUGUUUCAAUAUCUUGUUAAUGUUCUUGAAGGAGAUUUUUUACCUCGUCACAGUACUUAUGAAGAAAGCAUGAAUUGGACUGUUUUGAAGGAAUCCUUGCUCAACAUGCUUUUGGGAUUGAGGAGGAUAAGUUACAAAGGCUUAGUGAAGGAUUGUUUGUCUGUUUUGUGUUAUCUUCAUGGCCGAUUCUGUCAAGGUCUAAUAUAUUCAGAAGAUUCAUCAAGAUCAUUUGAAAAUUGUAACUCUGCUGUGGUAAAUGCUUUACUUGAACUAGGAAAUUGUACUUCAAUUGCAGCGCAGAGACUUCUGGUCAUGAUAAUGGAGCUUGAUAUGUCAAAGAAGAAAGCUAACAUGAAUGGCCAUACUACCAGAGCUGACAGCCUGAGAACACCACUGAUAGAGAUAAUUCUAGAUGAAAUUACUUACAAUAAAGAUAUUCUUUUCCCAUUUUUUCUGGCCUUUCAUGAACCCAAAUGGAAGCUGGAAAUAGUGUUGCAGUAUUUUUCAAAAUACAUAGCAAAGCCUGCAGUUCGCACUAGGAGGUCAAAUGAUUCCAAGGAGGAUGCAACACUUGAAGGAGUUUUAAAGUGUUUUUCAAAUAUCAACAGUGCAAAGAGCGUUGUUAAAAAAAUCAGUUCAGAAGUAGCUCAAUUACUUUUAGCACAUGCUUUUCAGGCAUAUUUGAUGCUGUUGUCCAAACAACAGAGUGUUAAAAGCAUUUCUGAUUCUAAGGAAGUCAUCGAAGGCUGCUUUUCUGUGGAAAUAUGCAAGAAUAUGAUUUCUGCUUUCAAUUGUCUUAAGAAUAAUGAUGCAGACUUGGAGAUUUUGCCUUUGGGAAAGGAAGCAGUUUUUGUGGCAGCAACUAUUCUUUCCACAACAUCAUAGGACUGCAGAAGCUGUUCAAAUUCAAUGAUUCACUGGAUUCAGCAGUACCCAUGGACUAAUUUGGAGAUCAAGUGUAAAAUUACAGCUUCCUAAAGGUCUGGGCCUCCUGCCAGAGUAUGAUCCUUGCUGCUGUGUUGAUCCCCUUCUAGUUCGAUCCCUGACCGGAAGAUGGAAUAAGAGUGAACCUUGCAUCCAUGACACAGAAAUUAAACCCCAAAAACUCAAGCCAAACAAAGAUAAAAUAAAGUAAGCCAAGAACUCGGGCAUUUGAUAUCAUUGUCAAAAAUUAUGAAAAUGAAAAACAAGAAACGAAAACUGAAUAUUAGAAACCGAAGCGAAAAAUCAAAAAUCAGCGUUAAUGUUUAAAAAAUAAAAUAAAAAUUAAAAAAUUUGAUUAAAUAAAUGCUCAUUUUUGUCCUUAAAUCAAAUAAAAAUACUAUAAAUUAAAAGUACUAUAAAUAAAAGUAAAAGUUAUUAUAAUAAUUUGACAUAAUUGUUAUGUUUCAAGAUUCACUUUGCAAGAAUAAUCUUAUUGGACAUGACAAUUGAAAAUAGUAAAAA